UACAAGAUAGCUGAUGUCGAAAUAGAAUUU
rnacentral:piRNA from 1 species